ACUUACCCUGAGGGCAGCAGAGAGCCCCUGAAGGUCCAAGAGCAGGAGAGCAGCCAUGCCCAGCUGCCUGUGAAGCUGCCACCUCCUCUCCCUCCACACCCUGACACUCAGGGACACGCCCCCGCAGCCCACACUCCCAGGAAAAGCAUUCCUCUAGCGGACCUUCUGGUUACUUUUAUAGAUAACCUUGUGGCCGGCCCUCCACCACCUCUGCAGAAACAACACCCUCACCCCACGAAGCCCGACCUGUUCUCUCCCUGGCUGACUUUGAAGCCGUGGUUGUAGCAGAGUGGGUAGGUUUCAAAGCAUGUUCCUGAGAGUGGGGCAGGUACCACUCCAGGGGGCCUGGAGUGAGUUGCAGGGAAUGGGAAUAGGUAGAGAAGGCAUCUCGGGGACAGGGUUCAGCUGAGGGCAAGGCUACCUUCAGGCGGGACCAUGACUUGCAGCCGCACAGCACAGGACACAUAGUCUGAGCUAAAGAAUAUUUGCUUAAUGAGUGAGCUUACAUCAUAUGUAUAUAAAAUCUAGAAACAUGUCUGGUUUGCUGAAGACUGACUACGUGGGUGGGUGCUGAGCCCCAUUUCAACUGUAAAUGCUAACUCAUUGCAAGAGACAGAAGGUCAUUGUCUUUUAAGCAGAGGCCUGAAAGCCAGUUCCGGCAUCGGAACCUAACGAACAAACACGGGAAUCCAAGGCCAUCAUAGCAGCAGUGGUCAUCAAAGAUAAAGCAUAAUGUUAUUCAAAGAACAGUCAGUGACUUUCUUUGGUUCAUAGGAACCUGGCUAUGGUUGGGAUGGAAGGGGGUAAAAUCCCAAUUACCAGGCCCUCCUUGUACCAAAUGAAUUAAUACUAAUGAGGUGGAGUCUUAAGACUCUGUAUUGAACCAGGCACCUUCUCCCCUACCCCC
rnacentral:lncRNA from 10 species